rnacentral:pre_miRNA from 2 species
AUGGCGGUCCGAAACCCAUACUUUUCACUUUCGAACGGGUGAGUGUACUAUCACUUUGGAAGACGUCUAUAUGUUACUCGGCUUACCUUUUGGAGGUUCAAUUGUUACGGCUCCUCCAA